GAAAUGCGAUAAGUAAUGUGAAUUGCAGAAUUCAGUGAAUCAUCGAAUCUUUGAACGCACCUUGCGCUCCUUGGUAUUCCGAGGAGCAUGCCUGUUUGAGUGUCAUUAAUAUAUAUAUCAACCUCUUUCAACUGUUGCUUGUUUGAGUGUUGGAUGUGGGGGUGUUCUUUGUUGGCUUCUAAUGAAGUCAGCUCCCCUCAAAUGUAUUAGCAGAAUGAUUUGUUGAUCCUGUUCAUUGGUGUGAUAAUUAUCUAUGCUAUUGACAAGGAAAAGCAAGUUCAGCUUCUAAUAGUCCAUUGACUUGGACAAAAAUUUCAUUAAUGUGACCUCAAAUCAGGUAGGACUACCCGCUGAACUUAA
rnacentral:misc_RNA from 1 species